ACUUGGAACCUGAAAUAGAUUUGUAACAUUAAUUUGCAUAAUUCAUCUGCUCCGCUGCUCUAACAGCAUUUAUAUCCCUGUGAGUUUAACACUUCAUGACUGAGAGCUGUUCUUCAUGACAACAGAACCCACAACAACCAUGACUUUAAUCACCAUCUUCAUCUGGACACUUGCUUUCUGCAUAGAAGAAUCCAGAGGACAGUACGUUGUGACACAGACUCCGGCAGUGAAAGCUGUUGUCCCAGAACAGACAGUCUCUCUGAACUGUAAAACCAGCAGUAAUGUUUACAACAAUGACAUUUUAGCCUGGUACCAACAGAAACCUGGAGGAGCUCCUAAACUCCUUAUUUACCGUGCUACAACACUUCAGUCUGGGACUCCAUCUAGAUUCAGUGGCAGUGGAUCUCAUAGUGACUUCACUCUGACCAUCAGUGGAGUCCAGGUUGAAGAUGCAGGAGAUUACUACUGUCAGAGUUACAACUACAUCAAUCGUAAAGAUGUGUUCACACAGUGA